GAUGACACUGCAAGAGAGAAGAUGACUCGUCCAGUGUUGCUCAUAAUUCGAGGAUGUCAAGGAUGAACUCAUUCUAUGAUCAGUUACGCACUCGUAAUUUCUUUGAAGAGUUUCCCUUCUUGCUGAGAAUGCAAGGUUAAUGGCACCGAUGAAGAAGAAUCAUUUUUAUAACAUCGGCAACUGUCUUGCACCCUCGCAAUCUUUUUCACUCGGAGAAGCAUAAGAGCUGAAGCACAAUGACCUACAAGUGUCUUCAACACUUCACCUAGCUUGAAGAUAUGGAAAUUGCUGACUGCUUGUAGCUCUAGUCACUACAAAAAGAAUUGAUCGCGACCUCCGGGCUCCCAUUAUGCAUGAAAAAUGUGGUGUUCAUUGCUCGCAUUACUACAUAAUAGGAGAAAGGGAGGGGAACGGUUGGCCCGAAGGUUCAACAAUUGUUGCAAAAUCAACAAUUUUUCAAUUUUUGAGAUGAUAUUCUUCUUCCUUUUUCGGUUCAUUCCUCCAUAGUCACUUUUUACAUUGGAUCAUAAAAUUCUCUGCCUUUUUGUAUACAAUUAACAGUAAGGGCUCAUUGUCUACAACUAAUGUGAUGGCUCUGAAAGUACUAUAACUGUCUUGUUAUCCGCUGGAGGGAGGUGGUUGGCAAGCUCAGUAGGGCUUGAAGCAGCUUGAAUGGGUAUUUCAGCUGUGUACAUCUGUAUCUAUAAACUUAACUUUUGGAAAAUUUCUGAUUUUAGCAAGUAUGUGGAGGUGGAUUUUUUUUCUA